rnacentral:rRNA from 1 species
UACGUAGGGUGCGAGCGUUAAUCGGAAUUACUGGGCGUAAAGCGUGCGCAGGCGGUUUGUUAAGUCUGAUGUGAAAGCCCCGGGCUCAACCUGGGAAUGGCAUUGGAAACUGGCAGGCUCGAGUAUGGCAGAGGGGGGUGGAAUUCCGCGUGUAGCAGUGAAAUGCGUAGAGAUGCGGAGGAACACCGAUGGCGAAGGCAGCCCCCUGGGCCAAUACUGACGCUCAGGCACGAAAGCGUGGGGAGCAAACAGG